UUCUUGUUUUGUUUUCUAUGUCUUUUUCACCAUGAGUUGUGCGUUUUUAGGAUGUAAUCUCCAGCCGGUCUUGCCCUGAGAAUGCAGUCACAGGAGGACCAGCUGUGACUGUUAAGCAGUUCAUCAUCUUCUGAGGUUGGCCUGAGCUGAAGCUUGGGAGGGAGGUCAAAUGAGUCUAUUCCAAAUGGUAAUGUUGCUCCACUUCAGAAGUCAGAGUCUUUAGUUUUGCAUAGCUGAAAGUUGCAACAAGAAGCUUCAGAUCUGAUACAUUUCUCAGCAAGGGUGGUUUUGGUAGUCUUCAAAGGCUGCCUUGAUGAGAAGGGGUCUUCCCAGAGCAAAAGAAUGACUCCAAUUGCCAUCCAAAAAUUGAACCCAGAGAGCAUGCAAGGAUUCAAAGAGUGGAAGAUUAUUUGUUACCAUCUAAAAUUUGUAGGGUGAGUCCACGGUAGACGGCUCUGAGGGUGCCAUUCUGGGUUUCUUUAAUUUCUUAUCACACAAAUUAGUCGCUCUGUCUCCUCUCUUUUUCUGCGGAAGAUGCCUGUUU